GUCUGCCUACCCACCAGACACCUGAGCUUGCACGAUGGCCAGAGUGAGACCACAGCCUCUUCUCCAAAUGGCAGGUGGAGGACCAAAGCACUUGACCCAUCAUCUGCUGCCUUCCAGGAUGCAUCAGCAGGAAGCUAGAUGGGAAGUGGAGAAGCCGGGAUUUGAACCAGCAUGGAUGCAGGCUUUGCAAGUGGUGCUUCACCCACCGCACCACAAUGCCUGCCCUUCACACAAUUAUCAACUGAGCAUCAAAUGUAUUUCUGAUACUGUGAAAAUAUCCUUAGACUUGGGAAAGAACUGGAGUCAGAGAGACAUUGAUUUGGUAGAGAUGGAUCUAGUGGCAGAAACUUGGGAGUCCCCAGAGAGUAGGUUCUGCUGUUGGGUAGGAAGAUAGAAAUUAGCCUAUGUGUGUGAAGGGUGCCUAAGGAAAACAAAGCAUCCAUGGAAAGGAGUGUAGCAGGUUCCAGCAGCCUUCACAUUGGAAGCAGGCCAGUAUUUUAUACUACAAAGUCCUCCAUAUCCAGUAACUUUAUAAGAGGUCCCAGCCUUCUCCCCAAGGAAGGCGCACCAGGAGAAUCCUCUCUGCCGGGCGCCAAGAGGGCCACCUAGUCUGAUAACAUUGGGUAAUAAAACCAGGAGGAAUUUUACCUAUUUCAUACUCAAUAUAUCCUUUGUCCAGGAGAAGUGGGUGGCAGGGAAGGAGAAAUGGAGGGAAAACCUGGACCCCACAUCCUUAAAAAUCCCAGUCUAAAUGUGGACUGGACACUGUCUCAGAACUGUCUGGAGAAGUGCCCAACCUUUCUGGGGGAUGCCACCUUGUUUACCACUACUCUCAGCCCACGUCUGAAAUUCUUUUCCUAGGGGAAGACAAGAAUUCCUGUUCCAGCCAUCUCCUGUAACCCUGGCACAUGGCAGACUGAAAUAUUUGCAAUUAAGGUAAGAAUGUCCCUGUUGUUUCAUCGAGGGAGCAUUUUAUCUUUAAAAAAAUCUGGGAGAGAGAGAAUCCAAGAGGGCUCCUAUCCUCUGGUUCACUCCCCAAAUAGUUACAAAAUCUAGGGCUAGGC